GACGAACGCUGGCGGCGUGCUUAACACAUGCAAGUCGAACGGAAAGGCCCUGCUCUUGUGGGGUGCUCGAGUGGCGAACGCGUGAGUAACACGUGAGUAACCUGCCCUUGUCUUUGGGAUAACUUCAGGAAACUGGGGAUCAUACCGCAUAGGAGCUCCUGCAGCACGGUGGGCGUUGGUAAGUUUCGGCGGUUGGGGAUGGACUAGCGGCUUAUCAGCUUGUUUGUGGGGUAGUGACUUACCAAGGUUUUGACGGGUAGCCGGCCUGAGAGGGUGACCGGCCACAUGGGGACUGAGAUACGGCCCAGACUCGUACGGGAGGCAGCAGUGGGGAAUAUGGCAGAAUGGGGGGAAGCCUGAUGCAGCAACGCCGCGUGCGUGAUGACGGCCUUCGGGUGGUAAACCGCUGUCGCCUGUGACGAGGCGUGAGUGACGGUAAUGGGUAAAGAAGCACCGGCUAACUACGUG
rnacentral:rRNA from 1 species